rnacentral:rRNA from 1 species
CCUACGGGAGGCUGCAGUGAGGAAUAUUGGUCAAUGGGCGAGAGCCUGAACCAGCCAAGUCGCGUGAGGGAAGACUGUCCUAUGGAUUGUAAACCUCUUUUGCCGGGGAGCAAAAAGCGGUACGUGUACCUCAUCGAGAGUACCCGGAGAAAAAGCAUCGGCUAACUCCGUGCCAGCAGCCGCGGUAAUACGGAGGAUUCGAGCGUUAUCCGGAUUUAUUGGGUUUAAAGGGUGCGCAGGCGGCGGGUUAAUUCAGCUGUGAAAUUUCGGAGGUCAAACCCCACAAAGCCGUUAAAACUGGCUUGAUAGAGUGGGCGAGAAGUAUGCGGAAUGCGUGGUGUAGCGGUGAAAUGCAUAGAUAUCACGCAGAACGCCGAUUGCGAAGGCAGCAUACCGGCGCCCAACUGACGCUCAGGCACGAAAGCGUGGGUAUCGAACAGGAUUAGAUACCCCUGUAGUC